CUGGGAGGGGGCUUGCCCCUGAUAGUGGAGUAUCAGUCAGUACCUCGGGCACUGACACACUGCUAUCGGGGGCAAGCCCCCUCCCAC
rnacentral:misc_RNA from 1 species